CGCGGGAGAGAAGUCCCCGGGCAGCUGAGGCGGUCGUCCUCGUCUCGUACGUCUCGAGGUGGAUGCGUCACUGAUCUGCUCGCCUCGGUGGAGGGGAUCGGCGAUCUUCCAGAUGUCGAGAGCGGCAACGACAUCGAGGACGAGUUCCUCAUCGAGGUGGCAGGGUUUGUUGAUCUCGCUCGCAAUCUGCUCAGCCUCGGUAGAGAGGAAUGGAUCGGCGAUCUUCCCGAUGCCGAGGGCGGCACCGACUGGAGUUUGAGAGGAGAUCUAUUUUCUUCGAUUCGUAAUCCAAUGACUGGGAGGAGCGCCUUCCAGACGCUGUAAGGCACGGGAUCCGUCAACUUUGAAGCCAGGGUAAAGCCACUCCUGCAGAUGAAUAUGUUUUUUACAAUCAAUGAGAUCGGCUUUUGCUUGAUCAGGUUACAAUUCUCUGAUAACAUGUGUUUUGUUCUGUUUAAGGUGAGCUUCUUAUACGGCAACAUAUCAGCGUCGUUGUCUUCGUCAUUUAGAUCAUUGUAUAACUUAGGGUCAAUGUCAUUCUGCAGCACCACUGUUUGUGAUCCAUCGCCAUUGGUUUUGGAUGACAGUUGAGUUAGGUCCCUCAGUUGGACCUCCUCUUCAGCUGUAACAUCUAUUAGAUUUUGCAAGAAAGAUUUAUUCUUGAAUGAAUCAAUUCUCUGGUCGUCUUGAGUGAACUCAUCUGAACCCAAUGUCCCAAUCGUGAGUAGUGAUGGAAGUGAGUUGAUGAAUUCUCUGUCGAAUUCCUGUUGACUGGGAUCUGAAGCAGCAGGAUGAAUAAGCAUGCAAUGUUGAGACAAUAUGUGCAUUGUCGUGCUCAAUCAACAACAAAGGAUAACAAGAUCACUAAAAGAGUGGACUCUACUAAAGCUGAGACACUUUCCUUUAUUUAUUAGAGGUAAAAUCAACAGAAGUAUAGAUGCACAAUCUAUUUGUGAAUUGAUUUUUGGUCAGAUUUUGAUUUACACAAAAUUGGGCGGAAUAAUAUUUUCUUUCUCUAUAGAAUUUCGACUUGAUUGUCUCGAGAACACCUUUUGUUAUUUGUUGUGAGCCUAACGCAAGCUCACGCCUUGCUCACGAGCUCAUUGUGGCUGCUAGCUCGUCGCCUACUCUCAAGCCUGUCGUGAAUAUCAUUUUCUUUCCUUUUGUUCAUACAGGUAAACUAAUAUAUGAUUUUUAUUAAAGAAAAAUUCACAGUUAAUUUUUUUUUCCUGAUGAUGAUGAUGAUGAUAAUUUGUUCAGAUUAAAUUGAGAAUAAAAAGCCACCCCAUGAUCUCUAAGAAUUAAUUGUGUCAUUUGAGUUACAAUUGU